rnacentral:rRNA from 1 species
UACGUAGGCAGCAAGCGUUGUUCGGAGUUACUGGGCGUAAAGGGUGUGUAGGCGGUUUUUUUUGUUUGGUGUGAAAUCUCCCGGCUUAACCGGGAGGGUGCGCCGAAUAAUGAGGGACUAGAGUACGGGAGAGGAAAGCGGAAUUCCUGGUGUAGCGGUGAAAUGCGUAGAUAUCAGGAGGAACACCGGUGGUGGAGACGGCUUUCUGGACCGUAACUGACGCUGAGACACGAAAGCGUGGGUAGCAAACAGG